ensembl:snoRNA small nucleolar RNA SNORA68
CAGGCACCCAACCCAAGAACUACUGCUGCCUGUAGCAGCAGUUUAAAUGGUGGUGCACACAGCAAAGGGCUUCAUCACCUUUGGGGGACUGUGUGGUGCCCCCCAGAGUGAAUAAGGAGGUUCUACAGUC